UCGGCUGCCUCCCCUUUUCCUCCAGUAGGCGAGAUACUAUACGGACACACUUAACUGUGGGCAUCAUCCCUGCAUGUGCUUCAAUCUGGUCACGCUUUGAAAGAGACAUUUCAGAAUAUAUAGGUAUGAGAGUUGGAUUUUCUCAUAUUCAAGAAGAGACUGAGAACCCCUUCAUUAGUCUGAGAUUUGAUUUAUCAUUCUCGAUACCUAGCUCAGAGAUUGGCAUGUGGUAAAUCUUCACCGAUUGGUGACUGAAUCACAGAAUUACUGAAGUUAAAACCAAGUAUGUUACAGAUCUAUCAUGAUGGAAACAAAUCAGUGGUUGACGAGAUUGGGGUAAGGGAUUGACUACAAAGGAGAAACCUGAGUUUUCAAGGGGAAAAUAGCACUUUACGUGUUGAACCCUGGCAGGCACCGCCUUAACCAAGUGAUCAGCGUUACUGACAUUGAUACUGUGUACUCUCUGCUGUGAUGGACUGAGGGCACACCACCACAGAGUUCCCGCCUUCUGUCUAAUCGUGAGAAGAUAUCAUGCAAAUCCAAGUUGAUUGACAUUCUACAAAAUACCUGAACAAUACUUCUCUAAGGUGCCAAGUUUGAAAGACAAGGAGAGAAGAACCAUCACAGAUGGGAGGAGAAUUGGGACACAUGCCAGUUAAAUGCUGUGUGCGAUCCUGGAUUGGAUCCUGAAACAGAUAGCCUGGAGGAAUCUGAUUAAAGCCUGUAGUUUAAUUAAUAGGAUGGUACCAAUGUUAAUUUUUAUUUUCCUAAUUGUACCAUGGUUAUAUAAGAUGUUAACGUUAGGGGAAGCUGGGUGAAGACUACAUAGAAACUCUACGUUAUAAUCUUUGUAACUCUCCUGUAUGUCUCAAGUUUUAUCAAAGCAGGAAGUUUAAAAAAAAAAUCCUGCCAUUUAAAACUUUCUUCUUUUAAUCUUUUUAUAUUCAUGUAUAUUUUGUAAGCACUGCCCUCAUAGAUAGGUAUAGAUGUAGACACGCGUGUGUGUGCGCAUGCACACACACACGCAACAGCAGGGAGGUUCAUUUCUCUAUCAUUCUGUGUAGAUGGAAUAGUUUCUGAAGGAUUAUCAGAAGGUCUUUGCAUAGAAAUUUUAUAAUUCUUACACCAAGGCUGUCUAAAUUGUUGAAGUGCUUCUGUAUAACAUGGUGGAAUGCCAUGAGAGAGUAUAUCCUUAUAGCAAAUGUAUAAUAUAAAUGGUGAUUUUAUAUAAAGUUAACUAAUAUGGUGUUUUAGUUUGUUGGUUAGAUGGUCAUAUCAUAGAAAUACAGAGUAGAAUUGACUUUUUAAUUAUAGCAAAAUUUUAAGCCUAGGCCUACUUCUAGAUGCAGUUUUGGUCCAUGUAUACUUAGUUAUCAGUUAGUAUCAAGAUAUUUAGAUUAGUUUUAACGUUCAUCUGAGUCAGUCAUAUUUGGUUGAAAAAAGAAGCUUUUAAUUGAAGGUAAACCAUGCAUAUUUAAAUUCUUUUUCUUUGACUUCCUGGGUUAGUAUUAAUUGCAACUUACUUUAAACAUAAUUUGAAAUAAUUAUGAACAAAUAAUUAUGUUAUGAUUUUGAAAAAGUAAGGUUUAAAGUACAUUAUAAUUUUAAGAGAGUAAGUGUUCAAUAUUCUUUAACGUUUUACUAUGUUGAGAAAAAUCAUUUGACUAUGUAAUUCUGUUUUUAUCUGGAGUCUAUGCCAUAAAAAUAUCAACCUCAGAGUUAAAAGACUUUAUAUGCUUGUUUGCUUUGACUUGAACAUGGGAUAUAUGCUGCUGUAAGAUGAGAGAUCUAUAAAAGUAGUAAAUAAUUAAGACUAA